AACGUAGGACGCAAACGUUAUCCGGAAUUACUGGGCGUAAAGGGCGCGCAGGCGGUGGUUUAAGUGAGGCAUGAAAGCUCCCAGGCUAAACCGGGAGAGGCUGUCUGAUACUGGAUCACUGGAGUACGUUAGAGGGGUGUAGAAUUCCGCGUGUAGUGGUGAAAUGCGUAGAGAUGCGGAGGAAUACCAGAGGCGAAGGCGGCACCCUGGGACGUAACUGACGCUGAGGCGCGAAAGCAUGGGUAGCGAACGGG
rnacentral:misc_RNA from 1 species